UACAGAGGUGGCAAGCGUUGUUCGGAUUUAUUGGGCGUAAAGGGUUCGUAGGCGGACCUGAAAGUCAGAAGUGAAAUCCCACAGCUCAACUGUGGAACUGCUUUUGAAACUUCCGGACUAGAGUGUGAGAGGGGUUAAGGGAAUUCCCGGUGUAAGGGUGAAAUCUGCAGAGAUCGGGAGGAACACCAGUCGCGAAGGCGCUUAACUGGCUCACUACUGACGCUCAGGAACGAAAGCUAGGGUAGCAAACGGG
rnacentral:rRNA from 1 species